GCUGGAAGCACAGGCCCGGGGCUGGCCCAGAACUCCUGCAGCCUUUCCCUGCCACAGCGGAAAUAAAACCAGUUCUCUCAGCCGAACCCCCAGGUCCAAGUCAGAAGAACGGACGCCGGAUGCCCACCUCCUUGGCAGAACUCUCUUCUAUUCCGCCCCCCCCCUCCCCAAGGAGGAUCCCUCUCAAGCCGAGGCCGGGAACCUGAAGAGAGGCUGAGGAGAUACACAAGUGAAUGCGCUCAGCAACCAGUGGAGCCUCCCGUGACUGGCAGCAGGAACUCCUUGACCUCUGGCACAAACAUCCAGAAUUGGGUUCCAGUCAGUUGGUACAGGAAGAAGGGGUCUACCUUCACCUGGCUUCCUCUCCCCUCUACCAGGGUUAUGUUUGAACCUGCUCACAAUUCCCACUCUCUUUCCUAGCAUUUAUCCCCUUUUAAUGUCUUCAAAUACAGUCUGUCUCCUCCAUUAGAUUGUAAACUGCAUGGGUGAGGAGCAGUAUUCUGUGUUAUUCACUGCUGUGUCCCUAGCACCUAGCAACGGGCCUCAAUAAAUAUGAAUGAAUGA